UACGUAGGGAGCAAGCGUUGUUCGGAUUUACUGGGCGUAAAGGGCGCGUAGGCGGCGCGGUAAGUCACUUGUGAAAUCUCUGAGCUUAACUCAGAACGGCCAAGUGAUACUGCAGUGCUAGAGUGCAGAAAGGGCAAUCGGAAUUCUUGGUGUAGCGGUGAAAUGCGUAGAUAUCAAGAGGAACACCUGAGGCGAAGGCGGGUUGCUAGGCUGACACUGACGCUGAGUGCGCGAAAGCCAGGGGAGCAAACGGG
rnacentral:rRNA from 3 species